GAUGAACGCUGGCGGCGUGCCUAAUACAUGCAAGUCGAGCGAACGGACGAGAAGCUUGCUUCUCUGAUGUUAGCGGCGGACGGGUGAGUAACACGUGGAUAACCUACCUAUAAGACUGGAUAACUUCGGGAAACCGGAGCUAAUACCGGAUAAUAUUUUGAACCGCAUGGUUCAAAAGUGAAAGACGGUCUUGCUGUCACUUAUAGAUGGAUCCGCGCUGCAUUAGCUAGUUGGUAAGGUAACGGCUUACCAAGGCAACGAUGCAUAGCCGACCUGAGAGGGUGAUCGGCCACACUGGAACUGAGACACGGUCCAGACUCCUACGGGAGGCGGCAGUAGGGAAUCUUCCGCAAUGGGCGAAAGCCUGACGGAGCAACGCCGCGUGAGUGAUGAAGGUCUUCGGAUCGUAAAACUCUGUUAUUAGGGAAGAACAUAUGUGUAAGUAACUGUGCACAUCUUGACGGUACCUAAUCAGAAAGCCACGGCUAACUACGUG
rnacentral:rRNA from 1 species